CCCACCUGUUGUGUUUUUCUCCAGCUGAUGUCUCCUGGGGAAGCAGAGGUUGGCCAACAGGAGAUCAGGAAUGAAAGGUUAAAGUGAAAACAACUCUUCAGUUGCCAACAGGCUAAAACAUGCAGCGCUGUGAAAGAAAAAAACAACAACAAUACCAUGGCAACCAAACGGGAAAGUAAUGUGAACAGAAGCGUUAAGCUGCACCGCAGAGGGAACUGGAAAAGAGGCUGACAAUGAAUGAGUAACUGCUGGAGAAACUUUGAUACUGGUAGCUAUUCAUCAGCAGCAUAAAUCUAGAUCCACUGUAACACCAAUCCUGGAAACUGCUGAACACGUCAACAUCCCGUCUAAAUGCUUCUCAUGUCAAGAUUAGGGAGUAAAUCAGGAACCGAGCUCUGAUUUAAGAAGCGACGGCUCUCAGGAGUUUGGAGCG